rnacentral:rRNA from 1 species
GGGCCCGCACAAGCGGUGGAGCAUGUGGUUUAAUUCGAUGCAACGCGAAGAACCUUACCUACUCUUGACAUCCAGAGAAGCCAGCGGAGACGCAGGUGUGCCUUCGGGAACUCUGAGACAGGUGCUGCAUGGCUGUCGUCAGCUCGUGUUGUGAAAUGUUGGGUUAAGUCCCGCAACGAGCGCAACCCUUAUCCUUGUUUGCCAGCGAGUAAUGUCGGGAACUCCAGGGAGACUGCCGGUGAUAAACCGGAGGAAGGUGGGGACGACGUCAAGUCAUCAUGGCCCUUACGAGUAGGGCUACACACGUGCUACAAUGGCGCAUACAGAGGGCAGCAAGCUAGCGAUAGUAAGCGAAUCCCAAAAAGUGCGUCGUAGUCCGGAUCGGAGUCUGCAACUCGACUCCGUGAAGUCGGAAUCGCUAGUAAUCG